AUGAUGGAUAAACCCUUUAAGCGCGUUUCAAGUCGCCCAGCUGGAGCCUCUGUUGGGCAGUGAAGCUUCAGGAUUCCCAUGAGAUGGAUCUGCAUGGGGUUUAGUCCUCUCUUGAAACACUGCCCGUUUGCAGGAGCGCCGGCCCACAGGGCAGAAGUCAAGACUGUCAGAGCAAGCGCUGGUUCUGAAGCUGGAAGGACUUUCAAGGCCUCAUUCCCCAAACUCAUUUUUUUUUAAAAUCUCUGCUCGUCUUAAAAAAUGGAGAGGCAGGCGCCCCAACAAUCUCUCAGGAGUAACUGACACACGUGACUUGCGGUGUCUUCAAAGGAACAAUCUGCAACUUGCUACUGUUUAAACAGAGCAAGACUAACAGUCGCCAGCAGCCGGUUCACGCAUAAUGCCCUUUGCAGGUGAAAGAAAACGGCACUGGAGGGUCGACUGCAGAAGCAGACGCAGUGCACAGUGGACAUCUGCCCCUUUUGGGGGCCCUGCCAUGGUGCUUCCUGAAAACUCAGGUUAAGCUGACUCUGCUGUCAGGCUGAUGAGGCUCCUGCACCCACCUUUGCUCAGCACGCCAGCCCAGACGGAAGAGCAGGUGCUAUGGCAGAAAUGAGUUCUUGUAGCAACUAUUUUUGAUACUGAAACUGAAAAGCGAGAGCAGCAAAGCUGUCCACAGAGCUCCUGACAGUUAGGCCCGGCUUUGGCUGCUGAUGCAAGUGCCGAAUGAUGCUAUUUCUGCGGCAGCCGGCCGCGGGAGCUGACCCACCGCGGGAUGUGCCCCAGGAGGCAGAAGAAACGCUGGGAACCGCACCUGACCUCGCCAGCAUCCCCCAGGCAAAGCCAGGCACUUUGAGUUCAUCGGUGGAGUUGGGCGAUACUCCUUUCCCGUCUGUGUGCUUAGCUGCUGCCAACAGGACAUGCUGGGUGACGCCUUACAGAACACAGCCAGUUGUGUGUUUUAUAAAGCAAGGCUUCCCUCCCCCAAAGACAAAUAAAACCACAGGUGUGGAAGGGACACCCUCCACCGCACCCCGCCCUAGUAAUCUGACACCACAAGCAAAGACACGGCCUGUGUGGGUAAGGUACAUUGUAAACGUUUAAAACUUCCUGUUCCCUGAUGCCUCAACUUCCCCGCAGACCGACGCACCUGUGACGGACAGGGCCCUGUGACCUCGUGACCUUCAUACACACCAAUGAAGCCCCUCAUGCCUUCUGCUGUCUUUCCCCCACCGCUGACUUGCCCACAGGUCCCCACCAGCUGCCCUGCCUCUGGAGCUGCCUCCUGUGUGCCCCCCCAGGCCCCUUGAGGUGCUGUGCGUCCCAUCUGGAACCAGCAGUUCACCCUCUCUCCCAGCCACCCUUCCAGACCCCACUUACAACACACGACUAAGCAACGCAGUACAGGCCGUGUAUUCCUAUUUGUUUUCCUGUGCCAGCUCAUCUGGUAUCUUCGUAUUUUAAUGGAUAAAACUAAAAGAUGACAACUUGAAGCCCCAGUGCAUCCCUCUCAAAUCGAGUGAAGUUUACAACACCUUAAUUAUAAAAGAUUUUUCUGAUCUGAAAGAAAGCAGAGUGUACAGAAACUUCACUUUCAGGCCUCUGAGCCCAAGCCAAGCCAUCACAUCCUCUGUGACUGGCACGUAUGCAUCCAGAUGGCCUGAAGUAACUGAAGAUCCACAAAAGAAGUAAAAAUAGCCUUAACUGAUGACAUUCCACCAUUGUGAUUUGUUUCUGCCCCACCCUAAUUGAUCAAUGUACUUUGUAAUCUCCCCCACCCUUAAGAAGGUACUUUGUAAUUCUCCCUACCCUUGAGAAUGUACUUUGUGAGAUCCACCCCCUGCCCCCCAAAACAUUGCUCCUAACUCCACUGCCUAUCCCCAAACCUGUAAGAACUAAUGAUAAUCCACCACCCUUUGCUGACUCUCUUUUCGGACUCAGCCCGCCUGCACCCAGGUGAAAUAAACAGCCAUGUUGCUCACAUGAAGCCUGUUUGGUGGUCUCUUCAAACGGACAUGCAUGAAAUUUGGUGCCGUGACUCGGAUCGGGGGACCUCCCUUGGGAGAUCAAUCCCCCGUCCUCCUGCUCUUUGCUCCGUGAGAAAGAUCCACCUACGACCUCAGGUCCUCAGACCCACCAGCCCAAGCAACAUCUCACCAAUUUCAAAUCCGGACCCCACUGGAAAUCGGACUGUCCGACUCACCUGGCAGCCACUCCCAGAGCCCCUGGAACUCUGGCCCAAGGCUCUCUGACUCCUUCCCAGAUCUUCUCGGCUUAGCGGCUGAAGACUGACACUGCCUGAUCGCCUCGGAAGCCCCCUAAACCAUCACGGACGCCGAGCUUCGGGUGACUCUCACAGUGGAAGGUAAGCCCAUCCCCUUCUUAAUCAAUAUGGAGGCUGCCCACUCCACAUUACCUUCUUUUCAAGGGCCUGUUUCCCUUGCCUCCGUAACUGUUGUGGGUAUUGACGGCCAGGCUUCUAAACCUCUUAAAACUCCCCAACUCUGGUGCCAACUUAGACAAUACUCUUUUAAGGCCUCCUUUUUAGUUAUCCCCACCUGCCCAGUUCCCUUAUUGGGCCGAGACACUUUAACUAAAUUAUCUGCUUCCCUGACUAUUCCUGGACUACAGCCACAUCUCAUUGCCGCCCUUCUCCCCAACCUAAAGCCUCCUUCGCGUCUUCCUCUCAUAUCCCCCCACCUUAACCCACAUGUACGGGACAUCUCUACUCCUUCCCUGGCAACCGAUCACAUGCCCAUUACCAUCCCAUUAAAACCUAAUCACCCUUACCCCGCUCAACGCCAAUAUCCCAUCCCACAGCACGCUUUAAAACGAUUAAAGCCCAUUAUCACUUGUCUGCUACAGCGUGGCCUUUUGAAGCCUAUAAACUCUUCUUACCAUUCCCCCAUUUUACUUGUCCUAAAACCAGACAAGGCUUACAAGUUAGUUCAGAAUCUGCACCUUAUCAACCAAAUUGUCUUGCCUAUCCACCCCAUAGUGCCAAACCCAUACACUCUCCUAUCCUCAAUACCUCCCUCUACUACCCAUUAUUCUGUUCUAGAUCUCAAACAUGCUUUCUUUACUAUUCCUUUGCACCCUUCAUCCCAGCCCCUCUUUGCUUUCACUUAGACUGACCCUGACACCCAUUAGGCUCAGCAAAUUACCUGGGCUGUACUGCCGCAAGGCUUCACAGACAGCCCCCAUUACUUCAGUCAAGCCCAAAUUUCAUCCUCAUCUGUUACCUAUCUCAGCAUAAUUCUCAUAAAAACACACGUGCUCUCCCUGCUGAUCGUGUCCGAUUAAUCUCCCAAACCUCAAUCCCUCACAAAACAACAACUCCUUUCCUUCCUAGGCAUGGUUGGUGUGGUCAGAAUUCUUACACAAGAGCCAGGACCGCACCCCGUAGCCUUUCUGUCCAAACAACUUGACCUUACUGUUUUAGCCUAGCCCUCAUGUCUGUGUGCAGUGGCUGCCGCUGCUUUAAUACUUUUAGAGGCCCUAAAAAUCACAAACUAUGCUCAACUUAGUCUCUACAUUUCUCAUAACUUCCAAAAUCUAUUUUCUUCCUCAUACCUGACGCAUAUACUUUCUGCUCCCCGGCUCCUUCAGCUGUACUCACUCUUUGUUAAGUCCCACAAUUACCAUUGUUCCUGGCCCGGACUUCAAUCCGGCCUCCCACAUUAUUCCUGAUACCACACCUGACCCUCAUGACUGUCUCUCUCUGAUUCACCUGACAUUCACCCCAUUUCCCCAUAUUUCCUUCUUUCCUGUUCCUCACCCUGAUCACGCUUGAUUUAUUGAAGGCAGUUCCACCAGGCCUAAUCGCCACACACCAGCAAAGGCAGGCUAUGCUAUAGUACAAGCCACUAGCCCGCCUCUUAGAAUCUCUCAUUUCCUUUCCAUUGUGGAAAUCUAUCCUCAAGGAAAUAACUUCUCAGUGUUCCAUCUGCUAUUCUACUACUCCUCAGGGAUUAUUCGGGCCCCCUCCCUUCCCUACACUUCAAGCUCGAGGUUUUGCCCCCACCCAGGACUGGCAAAUUAGCUUUACUCAACAUGCCCCGAGUGAGAUAACUAAAAUACCUCUUAGUCUAGGUAGACACUUUCACUAAAUAGGUAGAGGCCUUUCCUACAGGGUCUGAAAAGGCCACCGCAGUCAUUUCUUCCCUUCUGUCAGACACAAUUCCUCAGUUUAGCCUUCCCACCUCUAUAGUCUGAUAACAGACCAGCCUUUUUUAGUCAAAUCAACCAAGCAGUUUUUCAGGCUCUUAGUAUUCAGUGAAAUCUUUAUAUCCCUUAUGGUCCUCCGUCUUCAGGAAAAGUAGAAUGGACUAAAGGUCUUUUAAAAACACACCUCACCAAGCUCAGCCACCAACUUAAAAAAGACUGGACAAUACUUUUACCACUUUCGCUUCUCAGAAUUCAGGCCUGUCUUUGGAAUGCUACAAGGUACAGCCCAUUUGAGCUCCUUUUUAUUAGGCCCCAGUCUCAUUCCAGACACCGGACCAACUUGGACUGUGCCCCAAAAAAACUUGUCAUCCCUACUAUCUUCCGUCUAGUCAUACUCCUAUUCACCGUUCUCAACUACUCAUACAUGCCCUGCUCUUGUUUACGCUGCCGGUUUACACUGUUUCUCCAAGCCAGCACAGCUGAUAUCUCCUGGUGCUAUCCCCAAACUGCCACUCGUAACUCUUGAAGUAAAUAAUCUUUGCUGGCAGGACUAUGCUGAAUCUCCUUAGGCACUCUCUAAUCAGAUGUCCUGAGUCGUCCCAAUUCUUAGAGCUUUUAUACCUGUUUUUCUCCUUCUCUUAUUCCAUUUAGUUUUUCAAUUCAUCCAAAACCAUAUCCAGGCCAUCACCAAUCAUUCUAUACGACAAAUGUUUCUUCUAACAUCCCCACAAUAUCAUCCCUUACCACAAGACCUCCCUUCAGCUUAAUCUCUCCCACUCUAGGUUCCCACGCCGCCCCUAAUCCCACUUGAAGCAGCCCUGAGAAACAUCACCCAUUCUCUCUCCAUACCACCCCCCAAAAAUUUUCGCCACCCGAACACUUCAACGCUAUUUUAUUUUUCUUAUUAAUAUAAGAAGGCAGGUAUGUCAGGCCUCUGAGCCCAAGCCAAGCCAUCGCAUCCCCUGUGACUUGCACGUAUCCAUCCAGAUGGCCUGAAGUAACUGAAGAUCCACAAAAGAAGUAAAAAUAGCCUUAACUGAUGACAUUCCACCAUUGUGAUUUGUUUCUGCCCCACCCUAACUGAUCAAUGUACUUUGUAAUCUCCCCCAUCCUUAAGAAGGUUCUUUGUAACUCUCCCUACCCCUGAGAAUGUACUUUGCGAGAUCCACCCCCUGCCCCCAAAACAUUGCUCCAACUCCACCGCCUAUCCCAAAACCUAUAAGAACUAAUGAUAAUCCACCACCCUUUGCUGACUCUUUUCGGACUCAGCCCGCCUGCACCCAGGUGAAAUAAACAGCCACGUUGCUCACACAAA